rnacentral:lncRNA from 1 species
AAGACACACAGAGAGAGGCAGAGACACAGGCAGAGGGAGAAGCAGGCUCCCUGGAGGGAGCCUGACACAGACUCAAUCCCGGGACCCGAGGAUCACACCCUGAGCCAAAGGCAGAUGCUCAACCACUGAGUCACCCAGGCGUCCCCCCAGGUCAGCAUUUAAAGAGAAAGAGCAACAUAGGACACAUCACCAUCACCAAUAAAGACUGCAUCAAGAGGAGAAUGACAUGUUUCUGAUCUCAAGGUUCUUCUGUGUGUGUGUGUGUGUGUGUGUGUGUGUGUGUGUAUACAUAGUAUAUAUACACAACAUCAUAAAAAUAGCACACGUAUAUAUGUAUAUAUAACAUGAUAGCUAUAUAAGGAGACCAAACACCUGGCAGUGAAAUCAUUCCACAGAGUAUACACCCCUCAAGCAACAUACCCCAGGGAAGUACAAGGCAAAGAUGAGCACCAAAGUAGACACUGAUGGAAAAGUGGGCCACACACAGAAUCUGAUGGAUGUCAAGGGUUUCUAGACAAAGAAAAUCAGCUGAGCAAAAGCUCUGAGGACAAACUGCCCCACAAGAAGCCCACAACCUACACCAGAAGUAACGAGAUAAUUUUGAGAGUGGAGAAAAUGCAGUAGAGAGAUGUUCUUAGAUGCUAUGACCUUGCGACAGUAAGAAUUAAAGUCAACAGGGGUGGGGAGCAAAAAACAUUCAGGAAAUGUGAACUGGAAUAAUCUGAGCACAUUAUUUAUCACAUCAUGAUCAAGGCCUUAGCAUUGCAGAUCUUGGAGAUACAAAGAGACCUGUAUGCCAAGAAACUUGACCUGUGUUUAAGGCACUCAUAGUACAACAAAAACCACUGAUCUUUUUACAGUUUCAUAGUUUUGCCUUUCCCAGAAUGUCAUAGAGUUGGAAUCAUGAACUCUGAAGCUUUUUCAGGUCAACUUUUUGCACUUAGUAAUACGUACUGCAGGUUCCCACCAUGUUUUUCCAUGGCCUGAUAGCUCCUUUUUGAUGCUGAGUAAUACUCCAUUGCCUGAAUGGGCUACAGUCUAUUUCUCCAUUCAUCUACUGAAAGACACCUUGGUUGCUUUCAAGUUUUGGCAAUUACGAACAAAAGUGCCAUACAGGGUUGUGUGCAGGUUUCUGUGUACACAUAAGUUUUCAGCUCCUCUGGGUAAAUACUAAGGAGCACAAUUGCUAGAUCAUAUGGCUAGACUAUGUUUAGUUCUGUAAGAAAUCAUCAAACUGUCUUCCAAAGUAGCCACUUUGCACCAUCUUGCAUUCCCACCAGCAAUGAACGAGGCAGUUCUUCUCGCUCCACCUCCUCCCCAGCAUUUGGUGUUGUCAAUGUUUUGGAUUUCACCAUCUCUAACAGUUGUGUGGUGGUAUCUCAUGACUGUUUUAACUUGCAUAGGAUGUGGAACAUCCUUUCAUAUGCUUGUUUGCCAUCUGUACUCUACCAGUUUUAACUGAUGGAGAUUCUUUGCAGUGUCACGUGAAUACCUGGGCAGAUACGAAAGAUAAGCAGCUGUGUUUCCAGUCACAAAACUCUGUUCUCCCUACAACUUUGAGUUGAAUGGGCUUUAAGCACAGGUAGAUGUUCUGCCAGAGAAAGGUAUCAAUAAAGUCAGAUACCACCUCAGAGGAGAUGCCCCCACGUGCACGGAGUGUGGGAAGCACCGUGAUUUGAAGAGGCUAAGAUAUGCUAUUCUCUGGAAGGUCUGGACAAGGACCAAGCCAACAGCCCUAGUAAGUCACCAAAUACUACCACAAAUGUUAUUAAGCUCUCUCUGAAAUCUUGACCUUAGCAGAGCAUACAGGUCUAUGAAAUCCAAAAGAAUAUUCAUGAUCACUGUGAAAAAUCUAGGAGGAAGAAACCACAUCUCUACUAGAAUCUUAUCAAAAGGCUGGAGAAACCAGUCCUCAGGUCUUCCUUCACUGUAGACUCCCUAGUGAGUCAUUUUAGAAAGUGAUUCCAUAAGUCCUCCGCUGCAGGAAGGUACACACACUAUUAACAUCACUAGAGCAGCUGCCUCAAAAUUAAUUUAGUACACUGAUUUCCGCAUCACUUUGAAAUGCAGAAUUGGUCAUGUCAUGGCUGUCGUACUACAUUUUAUUGGAAAAAAAGUUUUACUCCUGGGAAGUGAAAUUCAAUCACUGUGUACAAACUAAAAUGUGACUUUUUCAAAAUUGUUUGAAAUGUCUCAGAAAUGUUUCUUUGGGGGUGCCUGGGGUGGCUCAGUCAGUUGGGUUCUUGAUUUUGGCUUGUGUCACGAUCUCUAGGUCAUGGUGGGAUUAAGCCCCAUGUCUGGGUCUGCAUUCAGCACAGUCUCUGCAGGAGAUUCUUUUUCUCUCUCUCUGUCCCUCCCCACCCCUGUUCACGCACAUGCACUGUCUCUCUCUUUCUUGCUUAAAAAAAAAGAAAAAAGAAAGAUGUUUGCAAAAGGAGGACUGGACAAUGGCAGAGCCACCUACUUCUAAAAUACAUCAUUUUUAUAAAUUAAAUACUAUGACAUAUAGAAAUAGUGGAGCAAACGAUAUUCAGAUGAAAGCCAGAAGGACAGUCACCAUUAUUCUAGUCAUAUGAAAGAGUUAACUGCCAUUGGUAAAUUGUGAAGUGGAUUAUCUGCAAGAAGGAUGUGUGGGUGGCUCAGCGGUUAACCAUCUGCCUUUGGCUCAGGGCGUGAUCCUGGAGUCCUGGGAUCAAGUCCCACAUCGGGCUCCCUGCAUAGAGCCUGCUAUUCCCUCUGCCUAUGACUCUGCCUCUCUUUCUCUCUCUCUGUCUCUCAUGAAUAAAUAAAUAAAAUCUUAAGGAAAAAAGUAUCUGCAAGAUUUUCUUUUAAGGGGAUAGUGGAGAGUAGCAGGUAUCAACUCCUUGUCUUUAAGUUGAAAGGCAAAGACAAGAUCUUGGAAGAAACGCUAGGUGGCUCAGUCAACUGUGCUAAUAUUAGGAAAACUUUUCUCUAAAAUCUGGUUCCUUGGGGCACCCUGGUGCCUCGGUUGGUGAAGUGUCUGCCCAGGUCAUGAUCCUGGCCCAGGUCAUGAUCCUGGGGUCCUGGGAUAUGGCCCCCUACUCAGCGGGGACCCUGCUUAUCCUUCUGCUACUCCCCCUGCUUGUGUUCUCUCACUCUCUUUGUCAAAUAAAUACAAUCUUUAAAAAAUUUUUUAAAAAUAAAAUCUGGGGGAUCCCUGGGUGGCUCAGUGGUUUGGCACCUGCCUUUGGCCCAGGGCGCGAUCCUGGAGUCCAGGGAUUGGGUCCCAUGUCAGGCUCUCUGCAUGGAGCCUGCUUCUCCCUCUGCCUGUGUCUCUGCCUCUCUCUCUGUCUCUCAUGAAUAAAUAAAUAAAAUCUUAAAAAAAUAAAAUAAAAAAUAAAAUCUUGUUUCUGGACAGCAGCACAGUUUCCAAUCCACAUUAGUUACAAACAUGGAUGAUGGCCUGGGAAUCAGAGACAUUGGCAUAUAUGGGGCUCCCAGGACUAUGAGGUCGUUGGGUGCUUCUUGGGUGACAUGCCAGUUUGAGAUCCAAAAGGAAGAGUUUCAUUCAUCUUGUAAACAGGUAAAAACACAGAGUAAAAUAACUCAGUGAUGUAUAGAUGAUACCAAGAUUAAAGGGAUCGAUCUAUCCUUAGAGAAACAUCCCCAAAGUGGUCUGUAAACAUUACUGAUUGUAAAGGGUAGAAGCUGGCAAGAUUAUAAAACUUCUCCAGUCCCACAGCAACUGCAUAACUUUAUCAGAGUGCGCAUUAUGCCAAUAGAGAGAUGACAUUGCUUGUGAUUAGUAAGCAACACUGGUGUCUGGAGGCCAUCUGGCGCUUUAUGGAUAGGCACAACUGAACUAAGCCAGGUGGUUUAUACUCCUUUGAACACAGAGGGAAAUCAGUGACUGCUUGGUACGACACAAAGCAUCUUCCUGCUCAGAAGGCCAACUCCAUCUAUCACUUCUCUUUUUCUUUACCACGGAGGCCAUCCAAUGGCUCACAAAUGGAUACCUCCAUAUAAGUAAAACACGUUGAAAGUCUAACGGGUUCUGGAAGGUGCAGAGUUCUUAUACUCUGGUGUUGACAACUGAACUGUCUCUUUGGAAAGGACUGUCACAGUCGAGACAUUCUAAGCAGGUGACAGCAGCAUUGGCAAUUCACGUCAUUGUGUAUGUAUGCUGUCAUUUUCAUCCAGAUAACAAGUCAGAAUUCUCUAGGACUACUUAAACCCUUUGCAAUAGGCCAUCCUUGGUUGAUCUUGUAAUCACAUUAUUCCAGAAAGUGUAUUUGUAAAGCUUUGGUUAUUUCCACAUUGAAAGAGAUUCCCCACUGAUCAGAUUAAGUUAGAAUGAACUCUGAUGAGCACAACUGUUUCAGCAUCCAAGGUAGGGUCACUGAAACAUAUCGAUCAAUUUAAGCAAAAUCAGAUUUUGAUAUGGUCUCUCUAACUCCCUCAUUCUCUCAAGUACCUACAGUAAGCAGUUGAUUCUCUCCGAAUCCUGAAUGAGCCUAAGUGCUUUGUUCAUAGGAAAUAAAUGUAUGUUUUCCAAGAUGUUUCAUUGUAUAUUUUUAUGUCAGCCUAAACAUCACAGUUCCCUGACAAUGUGUUCUCUCCAAGAACACAAUUCUUGAUUGGAUACUCAAGCUCCUCUUCAUUUUGUGGUAUGUUAUUAAUUGACUCAAGGAUUUUGUAUAUCUGUUAUGGGCUAAUUUCUUUGCUAAGUGCUGGGAAUGCAAAGUAGGACAUGGUUUCUGUUCUAGACUACAGAAAGACUUGCAAAACAAUAAUUAUAGUAUUCUGUGCCAUGGAUGCUAAUAAAGGAAAUGUGAAGUGAGAACACAGAGGAGGGACUCCCAGCAUGUCUUGGAAGAACCAGAAAGACACUGAGAUUAAAUGUCUCUUUUAAUUGUCCCCUUUCCUCAGAAAAUGUCUGGGGAAAUGUGUUGACCUUUCUUUCUUAAAUUAGGUAAUUUUAAGACUGAAAUCUUGCCAUUUGCAACAACAUGAAUGAAGGUAGAGAGUAUGAUGCUAAGCAAAAUACGUCAGUCAGAAAGACAAACACCAUAUGAUUUCACUUUUAUGUGGAAUUUAAGAAACCAUGAACAUAGAGGGGGAAAAAGAGGCACACUAAGGAACAGACUCUUAACUAUAGAGAACGCAACGAUGGCCACUAGAGGGGAUGGGGGGGAUGAGUGAAAUAGGUGAUGCAGAUGAAGAGUACACUUAUCAUGAUGAGCACUGAGUAACAUAGAGAACUGUUGAAUCACUCUAUAAGAUACCUGAAGUAAUAUUACACUAUUUAAAAAAAUUAAAACAAACUCUGAGUUUUAUCUAUGACCAUACACCAACAACAAUGUGAACAUUCCAAACUUCUAUGAGGUACUGCACUAAGAUCUUCAAGGUAUCGUACGAUCCAUGAAUUUCACGAGGAUAAAGUCAAUAAUGCUGAGUGAUAUGAACUUCUACCAUCCUUGGUUUCACUCUGAUGGACUUCAAUUGAAACACGUUAUUUUCCUGGAUCCGCACUUCUGAUUGAGUCAUCCUGGAAAAAUAUGCCCAAUGAUGAGACAAUAUUCUUACUAACACCAUAACAAAAUGCCCACUUGCAUGGAUUUGUAUGUAUACUGAAUAUAGACUUCUUGUGUAUCCUUUAAAAGCCAGACUACUGGCUAAAUAGUAUCCUACCUUUACUGGGGCAUGUACAUUCUAAGUAAUAUUGACCUUAAGGCCAAAAUCAAGUCUAAUGUUGUCUGAGAAAGUUUCAGCUAAGAAGACUGCAUCACUGCUUGUCACAGAAACGACAGUUCAGAUCUCUUGGUCAGAGUCAAAUUUUCUUUUGUUUUGAGGUUUCAUAAAUAUUGUCACUAGGCACGUCAUAUCUAGCAGGGCCACGUGUGAUAUUCGGAAAACUAAUACUGAGACAACUGAUAAAACUGUUGAUUUGUUUUCUCAAUUCAAUUUUCCAAAUAAGAAAGGACAGUAUUCACAAGAAGGUGCUUUCAGAAAUUAUAAAUGAUGAUCAACUGUUUUCUACAUAAAUGAAUCCAGUGGGUUGGGAGACCUCAGUAGUGCAAAAGUUUGUUGGCUUACAUGGAAAGAGGGCCUAUUUCUAUUUUAAUGACUUAUUUUAUUAUAGAAAAAUUAAGAAAUGCUCUCCACUUAACAAUCUAAAGAAACAUCCUGCUUACUCAUAAGAUGUUCAACAUGACUCUAAAGCAAUCCCAUAUUCAAUUCCUUUUAGAAGGAAAAUAGCCUCCCAAAGCCUCAGUUCCUCAUCAGUAGGGGACUAUAUAAUUUACAUACUCUGCAUAAUUUACAUACUAGUUGUUUAUCCCUACAACUAGAGUGAAAGGGGUGGGCUAACCAGAUGGGGCAGUGGACAAGGCGUGUCAACCGGGGUAUCCUUCGUAAACAUAUGGUUACCCCACACAUCAAAAGGAAGCUUGUUGGUUCGAUCCAGCCACAUUUGCCCAAAGGCUACAUGGUAGCAUCACCUUGGAGAACACACAUACACACACUUACAACAUAUACAAAUACAGAUGCACACAUGUGUACAUGUAUAUACUUAAAUGCCUAAGCCCUUCACUAGACCAAUUAAAUCUGAUUUCUGAAAGUGUACUGAAUCUUGGGCAACAAUCAUUUUUAAAAGCUCCCCCCCCAAAAAAAAUUAAAAUAAUAAAAAAUAAAAGCUCCCCCAUGGGGCAUGCCUGAGGGGCUCAGUUGGUGAAGCAUCUGCCUUUAGCUCAGGUCAUGAUCCCAGGGUCCUGGAAUUGAACCCCAUGUGGGGCUCUCUACUCCACAGGUUGUCUGCUUGUCCCUCUCCCUCUGCUGUUCCCCCUUUGCCUGUGCUCUCUAGCUCUCUUUCUCUGUCAAAUAAAUAAAUAAAAUCUUAAAAAAAAAAAAAAAAACCUCCCCCAAAUGAUACAAAUAUGCAGCAGCAUUGAGAACCUGUGAACUGGAUGAUCUCCAGCUCUUAAAGUCUGGGAUCAGAACUCUGGAGAGCAAAUUUACAGCACUUGUUGUUAUCAAAGUUUUAUAAGAACAUGCUACUCUCAUUUCUAGAACACAAAAUGUUUAAUAGCAGUAAGAUAAUAACCAACAUUUACUGACAAAGGAUUUACAGUUAACAAAACACUUUCUCAACAACAUUUUUUUCUCUCAUAUUAACCCCACAAGAACGUCAGAUUGGUUAUUAUUACAGACUUUCUGUGGGUGGGGAAAUUCAGACAUAAAAGAUCAGAUACGGGGAUGCUUGGGUGGCUCAGAGGUUGAGCAUCUACCUUUGACUCAGGGCAUGAUCCC